rnacentral:rRNA from 1 species
CCCUUCGGGGUGUAGGCGAGUGGCGCACGGGUGAGUAACGCGUAGGUCAUCUGCCCUUAGGUCAGGGNAUAGCCUUCGAAAGUUGGAUUAAUACCGUGAUAUAUGGCGACNNUCAAGGAUUUAUUCGNCUAAGGAUGAGCCUGCGUAAGAUUAGCUUGUNGGUGAGGUAACGGCUCACCAAGGCGACGAUCUAUAGCCGAGUUGAGAGGCUGAUCGGCCACAUUGGAACUGAGACACGGUCCAGACUCCUACGGGAGGCAGCAGCUAAGAAUUCUUUCCGCAAUGGGCCCAAGCCUGACGGAGCGACGCCGCGUGAACGAUGAAGGCCUUUCGGGUUGUAAAGUUCUUUUAUAAGAGACGAAUGUCUGGUGUAGGCCAGACUGACUGUAUCUUUUGAAUAAGGUCCGGCUAACUACGUGCCAGCAGCCGCGGUAAUACGUAGGGACCAAGCGUUGUUCGGAAUUAUUGGGCGUACAGGGUACGUAGGCGGCAUGAUAAGUCAGAUGUGAAACCCUCGGGCUCAACCUGAGGCCUGCGUCUGAUACUGUAGUGCUAGAGUUACUGAAGAGGAAGACGGAAUCCCUGGUGUAGGGGUGAAAUCUAUAGAUAUCAGGAAGAACACCUAUAGCGAAGGCAUACUUCUGGCAGCUAACUGACGCUGAUGUACGAAAG